CAAGAGUGGAAGAUUGCCUCAGAAGCCAGGAACAGGAACAGCCAUGUUGCCCUCUAUCACCAUCACCCACUCCACCAAAACUCCCUGGCACUGGAGAAACACUCGAAAGAUCAACUGCACCGCACAACACCGGACACAGAGCGGGGUUCACCCCAGCACUAGUGCUGAACUUGGGGUUCACUGGGGUCACAGCACAACAACCCGAGCACUCCCUCACACCUAACUCUCCACAAACCUCCCUGAAUCCAAACCAAGAUUCUUCCUUCAGUGAAGAUGACAAGGAAUGACACACCCCAGCACAGGUGGAAACAUUCUCAUGCAAAGGUGGAAGACAAACAAUUCAAGUGUAAGUUGAAAAAUAUGGUGACAGAGCAGGACUUGUGCCCAGACAGGGGAUGACAGGUUCCUCAGGAAGCAGCUGCUGCAAGGCCACCCUCAGAACUAAUCAGCCAGCAUGGUGAUGGGACCACUGCUACAUCUGCAGGUCUGAAAACAUCUCAGAAGGCAUGGAAACUGAAGAAGAAGACCAGAGAUGAAGGCUGGAAUGGAAAAAGCUGAAAAACUUCCUGAUAAUGAUCACUGAGAGCAAGAGUGAGCACUGUGGGCUGGGCUAAUUGGGUCCAAUUAGCAAUGGGAAGGUGCACACCUACACAGGCACAGGCAGUUUUAAUCUCUGAAAUAGAAACCCACAGGUUCAACAUUUGAGUUGGUUUUAUGGAUGAAGGAAAAAUGAGAUUUAAAUCUGGAUUUCAGGAAGAGCUUUCCUUUGAAACAGUCGGUCUAGCAACAGAGAGGGAAAGAGCAGUGGCUCAGGCAGGGUGACUCAUGCCCACAGUGUUUGCUGGCAGCAGUGUUGGCCUUACAUCACCUUCACCUAUGAGCAGCAACACAGGCUGUGACCCUGCAUCUCCUGCAACUCACCACAGCCUUUCUGGAGAAGACAGCACCCCACCUGAGCAGGGAAGGUGAAGCAGGAGCAAGGAUGAACUUUGGCCACUGUGUGGUACCCAAACACCAAAAAGCCCAAGAUCUGUGGGCAAGGGCACUGCCCAGUUCACCUUCCCCAGCCCUGCUCUGAGGACAGCAGCCCCAAGGGAUGCUUCAAACCCUUCACAAAAUGCAGGAGGUAACAAGACCUUGGUGAAGCUUUGGGUCAGGUUGACUAGUUUCCCAAGCCCAUAGCCAUGCAGUUUCCUCUGAGAUUCUCCAGCCUCCACUGUUUGCUGGAAUUUGCCCCAGCAAAUCCAAAACUUCUUUAGCAAAGACAGAAUGAGUGCAAAAGCCCCAUUUCCAAAGGUCCAACAGCUCUGAGAUGACCAGAAAGCAGCAGGUGAGCAAAUGUGCAAAACAGUGCAAGGCAGGGUGGUCCAGACCACCAGAUCUCCCACAGAAAUGCUCUGUACCCCCUGGAGGGUUUUAGAGCAUCUCCAGACUGCCCGAGAGCCUCAAAGGACCAGUGCUCCCCUGUGCCCUGGCAGCUAGGCACAUGUGAACUCAUCACCUCCUUGAUGUAUUGAUGCCUCUGCUGGUGGAGGUGGCAGCACCAGAGGAAGUCAAGCAACAACCCAAUUCCAUGUAAAAACCAUAUGCAGUUGUCAAGGACCUUGUCCAAAACAACCUUUUUGUUCUGUUUCUUUUUCUUCCCCCAGCCCUGCCUGCUGCUGUAGGCGAUGGGGACCUGCUGGAGGUGGCUGAAGCAUCUGUAGGGCCAGGCUCCUCACCCCCUGAGCAAAUCAAGAGAUGGAUGCACUUUGUGUCUGACUUCUGGAUGUUCCUGCACCACUGGCACAACCAGCAUGGCCAUAUCUACCAUGGAUGGUACACGAAACCUCACAGCCCACGUGCUGUACUCACCACCGCUGCACAGCACAGAAGGCACAGCCCUGCCAUGGGGUGGUUUGUUCUGGCAUUUUUUAGAAAGAAAGGAAAACGCCGUGUGAGACGAGGCAUCAGGGAUGCUGCAGUGAGCGAGUUCCCCUGGGGCACACCCCUGCACUGCAGACCUGCAAACAACUCCAAGCCAGAGGGAGAACAAGGGCCAUUCCUUGGCCAGCUGCAAGCUAAGGUUUCUACAUGUUAAGAACAUUUUAAUCCUGUAGGUUAUAAAAAAAGGAGAUUUUAGCCUUGGAGAGGAGUGGCCACAGGAGCAGCCCCACUGAAGGCAGGUGACUUGCUGGAGACUCUACAGCCACAGACCUGGACCAGGACUUUGGAGUGAGGACCCACUAGGGAGUAACCCCAAAUCCUGCUCAGACACCUUGCAGGAGCCAUGGUCACCUACAAACCUGGUGCUGUGUCACCCAUCACCAACAAGAGCAUCUCCAGAAGGGAUUCAGCUGCACAGCUACACUGACAGAGCAAAGGUACCAGCAGUUUUAAAGCCAGCCUUGAUGUGAACCCUUUGACAAAACUGUGCAGGAGUGAAAAAAACCCCGAAGUGACAGAGGUAAAUGAAGCAGGAAGGAUGACCAGGACUGCCUAUGAAAAUGUAGGAAUCUAAAGGUAGGGAGCUAUACAGACAUUCAGCUAAAAAUUAGCAUUUCCUAAAUGGCUUUGAACAUCUACUGGAUUUAUUCCACUUGGGUAAACAGGACAAAUACCCUAUAAAAGUACCACUUGUAUUGCCAAGUAAAAUACUUGCAGCAGUUUUUACUUACUCUGUUAGGCCAUUCUCCCCCAAAAGUCCGUGCUAAAACUUCUGUUAAUUUUCAGAGAGGGAAGGAUACUGCCCUUAAACCAAAAUGUGGGUGGCUCGUGGAAAUGGAGGCAAGACAGGCAGUUUUUCAGAGUCUGGCCCAUAGGCUAAACAAUGAUCUUAAGGAAGAAAUCAGUUUAUUGUGUCAGCCAACAGCAAAUCCUCAGCAGAGAGGCCAUGGGGUAGACGGGUCAGAGGGAAUAACCUCAGCUCUCCCCCUGCAGCAGCAGUGGAAAUGUACUGGGUGAACAGGGGAGGGAAUUUACAUUGCACCUGCCUGAGUCUGAAUUCACAGAGGAUUUACAGUCCUGGAGUUGCUAGCCAGGAACCCCUCCUGACCAAAGGACUUACAGAAAGAAAGAAAUGCAAAAGCAAAUUUGGUAUUUGCUACGUUCCUGCCAAGUAAUGGGAGGAAGGCAGACACAUUUUUCACUUCGCUUACAAAAUCAAAAUCUAACUUUGUUUAGACAGCACAACGGGGCUAAAGAGGAACCCAAGCAGCACUUUUUGAAGAGGAACCUGUCAAAAUAGUAGCCGUGUUUCAAAGCCAGACAGUGUUUACUUUCCACUCAGUGCAAGAAAAAUACAAGGAAGAGUGGAAGGUUCAUUUUACAUGGGAAGUUCUCACUGAUUUUAUUAAGAAUCUCCUGCUUAAAUGAUCAUUUGACAGCGGGAAAAAUAAACCCCUCCUGUUCUGAGUUUUGUGUGGGAGCUGGUCCAAAAAAAUCUUUGUGCCAAAACCAUCUUUGGAACAACCCCAACAGACCUCAGUCGAUGGCUACUGUAACAGCAGCUAAAAACUGCCCUCAUCCUGGUGAAAUAACGGAGACUUCUUCCUUUCUCCAGGAACCCCAGGUAUGGAGAGCGUCCUGGUCAGGAGCUGUAGGGGAGGAUGCUAAUGGAACCUUUCCCCUCUUCCAAACCAGUUCAGUCAUGCUACAGGCCACAGCAGACUGAAGAGAGGGUUCAGGGACAUGCAGAGGCAGCAUCCCCACCACCUUCACCUCCCAUGGAACGCCAUGUCACCUACUGCACCCUCAGCCCCUGCUCAGGAAACCACAGCAUCAUAUCCACCAGGUCAGAACAACGCUCUUUUCCUGCUUUCCUUCCUCCUUGCUCCUAGAGACUCCCUAAGCUGUGGGUAGGUGGUCUAACAGGGACCCGGGAAAGGGCAGUGGAUUCACCCCUUUGGCAGGAGCAGGAGAGAGGGGACCAGGCAGAGCUUGGGUAUUCAGCAAAGGAAGUGAAGGAGCUUGGGCUGUGCAUGCCAAGCUCAGCAUCCCUGCCCUGCCUGACCCUGUCCCUGUGCCACUGCUAUGCCCACGUGCCUCCCCAGCAGCAGCACUACUGCACCUGUCCCCUCUCUGCCAUCUCACCCCAGCUUCUGUGUGUGCUUCCUCUUCCCCUGUGUCUGCUCCUCUUGCUGCUUCUCACCUUCAUGGCUGCUCCUCCUCUCCACCUCUGCCCCAUCCCUGCUCCUGCCCUCCGUGCAGCCAUGACAGCCAAAUCCACAGGCAGCUGCACGGUGUGGCAGCAAGCCCAGCCCAGGGAGCUCUGGCAUCACUUGGGCACUGCUGCUCCACCAAUGCUCCCGCUCACCCAAAAAGCUGCUGUGGAAACUGCUGCUUCCUCUGCUCUGGCUGGGAGGAUUCAAGGAUGUCCUGCACCACUGGGAGCUGCAGGUGCCUGCAUCCCCGGCUCUGCCUCUGCCAGCAGCUCCCUGAGGAGCUGACCCACUUUUGGCUGCAGCAGGGCAGGGGAUGCCCAGUCCCACUGGCCCUGCUCUCACUCUGCCUUUCACUCAUCUUUGAUGUUUAAUGUUAGUAAAUAACGAUGUGCUCCCAAGCCUUGCUGCUGCAAAGCACCUGAGGGGCAACACAGGAUAAUUUUGUGAAACUAUUUAGGUAUAGCGGACACAAGCUGCAGCACCACCUGCCUCCCAUCCACCCAGCCCUGCCCAGGCACCUCUCCCUGCAGACAUUUGUUCUUUUGAACUCCCGGGUGCGCCCAACACUAACUUAUUCUAUUGAUGUCAGUGUUUUGGCAGAGAUGACGUACACACACCGAGCACUGCUAAAUUUCUGAAUUUCUGAAUGAAGAUGAAAGAACAAAACUGUAAGGGGAGUCAAACUGAGUCAGGGGGAGCAGGGCUUGUGCUGUCUGUGGGUCCAGCACACAGGCACACCACUG